rnacentral:rRNA from 1 species
UACGAAGGGGGCUAGCGUUGCUCGGAAUCACUGGGCGUAAAGGGUGCGUAGGCGGGUCUUUAAGUCAGGGGUGAAAUCCUGGAGCUCAACUCCAGAACUGCCUUUGAUACUGAAGAUCUUGAGUCCGGGAGAGGUGAGUGGAACUGCGAGUGUAGAGGUGGAAAUUCGUAGAUAUUCGCAAGAACACCAGUGGCGAAGGCGGCUCACUGGCCCGAUACUGACGCUGAGGUGCGAAAGCGUGGGGAGCAAACAGG